GGGAUAACCCCGGGAAACUGGGGAUAAUACCCUAUAGAUUACAGAUGCUGGAAUGCCCUGUAAUCCAAAGUUCCGACGCCCUAGGAUGGAUCUGCGGCCGAUUAGGUUGUUGUUGGGGUAAUGGCCCAACAAGCCCGUAAUCGGUACGGGUUGUGGGAGCAAGAGCCCGGAGUUGGAUUCUGAGACACGAAUCCAGGCCCUACGGGGCGCAGCAGGCGCGAAAACUUUACAAUGCGGGCAACCGUGAUAAGGGAACCUCGAGUGCCUGUAAAUGCAGGCUGUUCAGGUGCCUAAAACACACCUGAAGAAAGGGCCGGGCAAGACCGGUGCCAGCCGCCGCGGUAAUACCGGCGGCUCGAGUGGUGGCCGCUUUUAUUGGGCUUAAAGCGUUCGUAGCUGGGUUGUUAAGUCUCUUGGGAAAUCUGGCGGCUUAACCGUCAGGCGUCUAAGGGAUACUGGCAAUCUUGGAACCGGGAGAGGUGAGGGGUACUUCGGGGGUAGGAGUGAAAUCCUGUAAUCCUCGAGGGACCACCUGUGGCGAAGGCGCCUCACCAGAACGGCUUCGACAGUGAGGGACGAAAGCUGGGGGAGCAAACCGGAUUAGAUACCCGGGUAGUCCCAGCCGUAAACUAUGCGCGUUAGGUGUAUCGGUGACCACGAGUUACCGAGGUGCCGAAGGGAAACCGUGAAACGUGCCGCCUGGGAAGUACGGUCGCAAGGCUGAAACUUAAAGGAAUUGGCGGGGGAGCA
rnacentral:rRNA from 1 species